rnacentral:lncRNA from 1 species
AUGUGUUAGCUGAGUCCCCUGAAGGCAGCAGAUGGUUGGUUGGAGGUAUUACUGAGGUAAACUUCCAGUAUCCAGAUCCAAAGCGGUGGACAGUGAAAAUAACCAGAACUAGGAGAAAAGAAUGGGAACUGUGAGGAAAAGAAUGACAUGAACAAUGGGAAGACCAAGGUCCCAGCACAAGUAGUAGAUGCUGAGGAAAGAAGAAGUAUGUUGUGGAGUAAGUGAGUGGGCCUGAGUUGAGAAGAUCCUGGCCUUGGAUUUUAAAACUGUCAGGAAUUGCAUAAAUUCGCUAGAAUCAGAAGUCAGUUGUCCUGAUCUCAGAACAAUUUGGUGUGUACAAAGUCCAAGGUUUGAAAACUCAUCAAGAAGUCAGCAUCCUGCAAGAAUCAGCCACCCAUGCCACACUUUCUAUAGUAACUUCUGUUCUGCAUCAGACUACAUCACUCUGGCUUUCUGGUAUGCGGAUUUGUAUUAGUCCAUUUUCAUACUGAGACCAGGUAAUUUAUGAAAAAAAGAGGUUUAAUUGACUCAUGGUUCCACAUGGCUGGGUGGGUGUCAGGAAACUUACAAUCAUGGCGG